rnacentral:rRNA from 1 species
GACGAACGCUGGCGGCGUGCUUAACACAUGCAAGUCGAACGGAAAGGCCCUGCUUUUGUGGGGUGCUCGAGUGGCGAAAGGGUGAGUAACACGUGAGUAACCUGCCCUUGACUUUGGGAUAACUUCAGGAAACUGGGGCUAAUACCGGAUAGGAGCUCCUUCUGCAUGGUGGGGGGUGGAAAGUUUCGGCGGUUGGGGAUGGACUCGCGGCUUAUCAGCUUGUUGGUGGGGUAGUGGCUUACCAAGGCUUUGACGGGUAGCCGGCCUGAGAGGGUGACCGGCCACAUUGGGACUGAGAUACGGCCCAGACUCCUACGGGAGGCAGCAGUGGGGAAUAUUGCACAAUGGGCGGAAGCCUGAUGCAGCAACGCCGCGUGCGGGAUGACGGCCUUCGGGUUGUAAACCGCUUUCGCCUGUGACGAAGCGUGAGUGACGGUAAUGGGUAAAGAAGCACCGGCUAACUACGUG